CAGCCGCCGCGGGAAUACAGAGGGUGCAAGCGUUAAUCGGAUUUACUGGGCGUAAAGGGCGCGUAGGUGGUUAUUUAAGUGAGAUGUGAAAGCCCCGGGCUUAACCUGGGAACUGCAUCCUAUACUGGGUAACUGGAGUGCAGUAGAGGGUAGUGGAAUUUCCGGUGUAGCGGUGAAAUGCGUAGAUAUCGGAAGGAACACCAGUGGCGAAGGCGGCUACCUGGACUGAGACUGACACUGAGGCGCGAGAGCGUGGGGAGCAAACAGGAUUAGAUACCCCUGUAGUCCCUGUCUCUUAUAU
rnacentral:rRNA from 1 species